CCAGACACCCCUUGUAAAGUUCUUUCUUCUUUCUUAAUUAAAGCAUACUUGUCUUAUUAUUGUUCUUUCCACUACGCUUAGCAUGUUCCUAAUAUCCCUUUAAGAAGUUUAAGGUGACUUAGUCACCAAGAAAGAAAUGUCUAAGUGCUGCAUGGGCAAGAAAAGAGUCAUUCUACGUCACAAUAUCUAUUUUAGGACAAAAUGAACUCAACUGGAGGUUUAAAGUUUUAACAGAGCAAGGAAACUCGAGUUGGUGCAUUGAAGGCACAACGUCGCAGCAUCUUAAGGUAGAAGGGUCUUGUUCAGACAAAGUGCAUGGCGUUGUGACACUACAGAGUUUUUGAAAAUGGGUGUUGCAUGCAUUUGGACAGCGUCGAAAUGCUGAAUCCUAAUGUUGCGGCAUUGUGCCAUAUAUAUUUUUUUUUAUUUAUAUCUAGCCGUUGUCAUUUGUUGGGAUACGUUUUUACGUAAAUUUUUAGACAUUUUCUCCAAAACUCUCUACACUUUCUCGAACAAUUUGAUUAAAGACUUUCAUUGAUUUUUGUGGAUGCA